rnacentral:rRNA from 1 species
AUUGAACGCUGGCGGCAGGCUUAACACAUGCAAGUCGAACGAGUGGCGGACGGGUGAGUAAUGCUUGGGAAUCUGGCUUAUGGAGGGGGAUAACGACGGGAAACUGUCGCUAAUACCGCGUACCAUAGGAUGAGCCCAAGUGGGAUUAGCUAGUAGGUGGGGUAACGGCUCACCUAGGCGACGAGCCCUAGCUGGUCUGAGAGGAGGACCAGACCCAACGGAACUGAGACACGGUCCAGACUCGUCCAUGAGGCAGCAUUAAUAAAUAUUGCACAAUCGGCGCAAGCCUGAUUCAGCCAUGCCGCGUGUGUGAAGAAUGCCUUCGGGUUGUAAAGCACUUUCAGCGGGGAGGCGUUACCCGCAGAAGAAGCACCGGCUAACUCCGUGCCAGCAGCAGCGGUAAUAC